AGCCAGACCUCCGGCUAAGCAACCCAAGCCGCUCCCCGCCCUGGCGGCAGGCUCGGUUUCACACCCCGGCCCGGAGCACCCGGCCCAGCUGAGCCGCUGCGGGUGGCAGGGGGCGCGGCGCGGGCAUCCCGGACACACACCCGCGCUGGCCAUGCCUGGCAAGGCAGCGCGGGACAAGACAGACAGUACAGACAUGCAGAGAGAGAAACCAAAUGGAUUGAAUAUUCAGAUUGAUGGCCCUGAAAAACAGAAGUUACCUGUUUGCAGCACAGUUACUUGAAGGCAGGAGUGGAACAAGAUUGCUCCAACAAGACUUGAAUCCUUCUGACUGAUGAAAAAAAUAAAACAAUUGGUAUGAGACAGCAGGAUUGAGAGACCUUGGGAUGAUUGCUGGGGUCUGGGCAGAGGACAGAUCCUCAGAGAUAAGAAGAAAUUUGGAAAAGUCUGCUGCAUCUCACUAUGUUGUUGGCAGGUUUACUUCAAGUAAGACAUGUUCUGACAGAAGAGUUCAAAAUUCAGUAGGCCUUACAUGAG